AGUUUUUGAGUAAUCCUGCUAAAACCACACCAACAAAUAAACUGACACAGGCAAAAUAAAAAUAAACACAAGAUCAAAUAUAUUCUUAUGGAUGUAUUUUAAUAAAAAUACUUCUGUCAAAAUUAAACAGAUUUUUUUUAACGUUUCCAGUACAUACAUAUUUUUCAGUUAUCAUUUUUCAUAUUAUAUAUAUAUAUAUAUAUAUAUAUAUAUAUAUAUAUAUAUAUAUAUAUAUAUAUAUAUAUAUAUAAUUUCAAAGGUUUUUAAAAGUCAUGCUAAGUACAGAGUAACUCAUUUCACUUUUUUUUAAUUUUUGCUAAAACUCAAAAUGUCAAAAAUAUGAAAUUAAAAUAAUAUUAAUUCCACUUCUGUGGCCUUUGGAGAAGACGUGGGUUCGGCGUCAGAGGCUUUGGACUGUCUGUGCUCACGCUGCCAUUACUGGAGGCACAGGCGAUGCCAGUGAGACGGAAGCUCAAACAUAAAGGACAAACUGGGAGAUUUGUUCCCUACAGGGUCGGUAACGGGAAUAUGAGGUGCGUGCUGCAGAAACCCUCACCGCUUCAUUCAGUUUACUGAAGAAAAGCUUCACUCACAAUGAAACAGAAUUGCAGUCUGUCAUUUGAAAUGCUUGGCAGUUAAGAGUCUCGCAAAGAGAACAGCAAAGAGGAAAAUAAAAAUAAAAAUCUGUUUUAGGUAAAGAUAAUUUUUUUAAAAUGAUUCAAUUCAUAUAAAUAAAAAUUGGGAAUUGUAAAGCUCACACCGUCCCCAAAUGAGGUGCGUCCUAAACGAUGUGCUGUUGUUGGUGGUGAGGAUCUGAUGUACUGCAGGAAAAUGGUAGUCUUAAAAGUAUGACUGGGGGUUGGCAGCACCUCUGGACCUUGACAAACAGACUUAUUUGUGAAAACCAAAAGGGGGUAUGAUCCAGACUACAGUGGUAUAGGUUAGAGGAGUACAGUCUGGACUAGAGUGGAAGGGUCCAAAUUAGAGCGGUAUAGACGGGACUAGAGUGGAACGGUCCAAACUAGAGAGGUAUAGACUGGACUAGAGGGUACGGCCCAGACUAUGGGUGUAUACAUAGGUUAGUUUUGGCAUAGCCCAAAAUAAAUGCUGAAGUAUAAAUCAUAUUUCAGGCUAGAUCAGUAUUAGUCUGUCCUGACACACCGGGUCCACUCCCCGAAUGUCUGCACUGAAGUUAAAAGAAAUCAUUUUGGAUGUGGCCAGAGGUGUACACUCUCACAAUUGCCUUUGUCUCUAUGGAACUGUUUGUAUAUAAGAAUUGUUUUUCCAAAAAAAAAAAAAAAAAAAAAAGGAAAAAAAAAUCUUACAAAAAGACAUUCAAUUUUGACAGAACUUGGCAGGAACACCGGGCCUCUUUGGAGGAGGUUUUUGAGUUUGGUUCUGACUGGUCAAUGAUCACAGUCAGUGAUUUAGGUCAAAUUUGUAGCCCUCCGUUCACCCAGAAUAAAUGUUAAUUUUGUCGAAGUCACUUCAGAUAUUUCAUUCUUAGCAAAGUUUAAAAGCCCUUGUAACAUCUGCGGGCCUGAAAUAUUCCGAGCAUUUCUGAUCUACUUGUUCCUGCGUAACCUUCAAGGCGAUCAGAAUAACAAAACUCCUCUUUUAGGUCCAGUUAUCGACAUAAGAGACACGGAAACCUUCACACAAACAGCCGGUGCGCACGGUGAGGCCUGACAUGAUCUGCACUUAUAACUCAAAAACCACGCCUGAUAUCACAAAAGAAAA